rnacentral:rRNA from 1 species
AGAGUUUGAUCAUGGCUCAGGAUGAACGCUGGCGGUAUGCUUAACACAUGCAAGUCGAACGAAAGCUUUAUGCUUUAGUGGCGAACGGGUGCGUAAUACGUGAGAAUCUGCCCUUAGGAGGAGAAUAACUUCUGGAAACGGUUGCUAAGUCUCCAUAUGCCGAGAGGUAAAAUAGUUUAUACUGCCUAGGGAUGAGCUCACGCCUGAUUAGCUUGUUGGUAAGGUAAUGGCUUACCAAGGCCACGAUCAGUAGCUGGUUUGAGAGAACGAUCAGCCACACUGGGACUGAGACACGGCCCAGACUCCUCCGGGAGGCAGCAGUGAGGAAUUUUCCGCAAUGGGCGAAAGCCUGACGGAGCAAUACCGCGUGAGGGAUGAAGGAUUUUGGUC